UCUUUGUUGUUGAGUAGGUUAGAUUGAGGUCUCAAAGAAUAUUCCAAAUUUACAUCUGAAAAAGAAAUUCAUACCAAUUGAUUUUCUUUUUGCUUCAGUAUUUAUCCAAAUAAAGCUCCAUUUGCAGUCUUUGUAUAAAAAAAAUAACCAAGAAGCUUCAUCACGUCUUGUACCUUAGGUGACAAUGUCUCAAGGCUUGGCUUGGACGGGUACGCACUUUGGUGUUUUUUUGUUGGACUUGUUUCAUUCAAAUGAAAAAGUCCAUUCAGGUUAUUACAUUGGUCAUGUUCGGGCCCAUUUUAAUUGUCCAACAAAAAGUUAACUCGUUGAAUCAAGCAUGUAGCCUAAUCGGUUAAUUCGUUUAGUGAAAAUCGAGGUAUCGAACCAAGUUAUUGGAAUAUAAUUCGGUUAGAUUCGAACUCUAGUUUUUUUUUUGGGGUACAAUUCGAACUCUAGUUUACUAUAUAAGGUUCUUUUCUUUUUGAGUUAUAAGUUAUUUUCUGCAGUUUUCCUUUCAGUUUCAGUGUCUUUAUAUUGUAUAUAUGUUUUAUAAAAACAGUUUUUCUUCGAUAUGCAACAAAGUUGAUCAUUGUUUUCGUUAUUGUAUAUGCAUAUCACGUAAAGAUUAACGUAGCGGUUUUUAAAACACUUGGAAUAUAUUUGCUAUAUUACUUAUAAAAAGGCCUAUUAAAUAAUUGUUUUCGUUAUUCUAUAGAUCGAUGAACUGAUUACUCGUACAAAAACUUUACAAAUCCAACCUUUUUUCAAAAAAAAAAAAACUUUACAAAUCCGUAUUAACGUACACCUAGAAAACGAAAAAAAAAAUUGGACUAUAAUUUCAUUUGAAAUCAAUAUUUAUUUUUAAUAUUAUUAAUUAAAAUUCUCCACUGAGAAACAAUGGGUUCAAAACUUACCAUACUUAUUCGUAAUCCUCUCUUCUUCUUCUUUUUUUUAAAAUAUUCCGAUCACUUUGUCUGUAAUUCGUCACGAUCACUUUCUCUUGGAAAUGAUUUUGACUGGACCUCACUGCUGCUACUACUACCAGUACUCUAUUGAUCUUAAUAUUCGUUACUAUCCGUUUUCAAACAUAUUUAAUUACAAUAUGUUUACUAUUCAUGGUUCUUUGCACCUACACUUUGCGUUAAUUUAAAGUUAUAGUGACAUGAUAUUCAGUAUUCCAUUACUUGUACAAGUUGGAAGUAUUUUAUACUUUUGUGUAGAGGAAAAAAACUAUUAUAUACUUUUAUAUCAGAGGGUGAAAACUCAGGUCAUGUGUUAACCAAAUGUUUUUUUUAUUAAACUUGACAAACUGAUCUUCAGACAAACAGCAAACAUAUCAACAUAUGUAAUUGAAAUACACAUAUAUUAGAAGUAGGGUGGAACUUUACAUAAAACCAUAUAUAGUUGAUGUCGGAACAUCAAAACAUUUGAACCUAUUACUUCUACGUUUUGGAGAUCCGCAUAUUUUCGUCUAAAUUUUCGAUUAUGUAACUAUAAUUCAAAUUAGUCACGUAGCGCUGACUCGUAUGGAUAAUAGAUUACAGACACUAUAUUUUAUGAGUUUGUUAUACAAAUUAACUAAUAGUGGCACAUAUUCAAAGUUGAAGAACAACACAUCGGACUUUAUUAUAACAAUUAGUACAAGUUAUAUAUGUUCCUUUUUGUCACACAGUACGAGAUAUGUUAAAACAUAUCGUUUUCGUGAUAUUAGACAAGACCACAUUUUUGUUGACAAAACAACGACCACAUUUUCAAUUGGAACAAACAUAAAGCUAUAGAAUAAAGAAACGAAAAAGGAAAAACGAGUUAAGAAACCUAAACUAGCAUUGUACCAUUACUGGACGUCCAAAAAAAAAAAAGCAUUGUUCCAUUACAUUUUGAACCUCUGGAAGUGCUUGCACGUGAAAGUUACACGCAUUUCUUAAAUAAAUACAUUGCUUCCUUUGUGAUUUAAACAAAUUUUACUUUCAUGUAAUCGAUUUGAUUGAUAAUUAUAGUUGUUUAAAAAUUUGUUCUUCAUCAAACUGGACCAAGGACGGCAGCGAAGCAUAGAGUUUUUGGACCAGUCUUAAUGGAGUAUGCACUAUACAACACAAUAAUUACUAAUUAUAACUCGACAUGUGGAUUCACCUUUAGAGAAAAUAAAUCAGAUAAGUGAAAAGUGAUUUAAUUUUCUGUGGUCUUGAUUAUUCAGAGAGCCAAUAAUUAGGGCAAGCAUCAGAACAUUAGGAAAAUGAAUUUAUUAGAACUAGCUUUUCGGCUGUCAAAAAGAAUUCAUGAUACUAAAACCAUUAAAGUGAAAGGUGAAGUGAUUCCAUAAAAGACUGAAGUAAACAUAUAUCAACCAUCACUUUAGGAAUCAAGAACAUGUUCGUUUGGUAUUGUUAAAUUUAUUACUAAAUCAGGGCAUUUACUAAUAGCAAUAACGAUAAUGAUCUUAAUAAUGUAAUAAUUCAAGAAUUUUCAAAUGGAUGAUCAGAUACAACCGUAUACAAGUCACCGAUCUAAUAAACUCUUUAUCGCUUGCUAUGCGGCGAUUGAGAUAAAUGAGCAUAGCUAAGAUUUAAAUAUCAUAAAAGUUAGAAUCUUAUCAACAUGCAAUUUAAGAUGGUUAUUAGCGCUGGGAAUUUGAUUCUUCACCCGCGGGCCCCGCCCCAUUAGGCCCGCUGCGGGACGGGUGCAGACCUAACCAAAAUCUGAUUUUAUAAAUGGCGGGUCAUGCAGAUCAGGUAAAAAAAUAGCGGGACGAGCGCGGGUAUGGUAAUUUUGGAAACGGGUUAGCAGGCACCCACUUAUAUUGAAAACAUGUUGUUUUGUUAGUUUUGUUUUGUGUCGUUUUUGUGUUUUAGGUUGUUAGUGUGUGUCGUUUUCUAAUUUUAGGAUGUAACUUUGUGCUGUUUUCAUUGGUUUAAGGGAUAAAACAAACCCAAUAGCCCUAAUCUCUAGUAUUCUUUUCCCUUUUCCGUAACCCUAAAUUGAGUCUCUCGCUCUCUUGACUCUCUGCAGAUCAAAAUCGUCGACUGUCAAGUCUCUUUCUAGUCUCAUCUCUCUGUCUCUAGUUUCGAUCUCUCCCUGGACUCUCUGUCUCUCUCACGGCUGAGUCCUGCUCGAUAAACCAGGUAUUGUGACGGAGAAAACAACAGGAGAUCUAUGUAAAUCCGGGUGUUGGUAUGAGGGGGCAGUUUACCAUAUGAAAUUUUUGAGGAUUCAAGUCAGGGGAAGAAAGAAGACCUCUGUCAUAGAAGCUCUAUGUAAUUUGUUUUCAAGUUUGAUUUUAGUUUGAACAAGAACUUAUGGUUUGUGUGUUUGUCAGAUCUUUAGCUUAUUGUUUGGUGUUUGUCGGGUUAAAACUUGAUUGUGUGUUUGUUUUUGUUUUUAUUUGGUCAUUAAAUUUUUUUUUUUUAAAUUGAUGCGGGUAUCCGCUUGCCCGCUUGAUUAAUGCGGGGUGGGUGCGGGUUUCCAAACAAACUAGUGGCGGGUUGGACGGAUAAUUUUUAAAUUUGACAAAAUGAAUCAAACCCGCAGCGGAACAGGUCGGGCGGAGCUGAUCUGACCCGCUUCCAGGACUAAUGGUUAUUGACAAUUUUAAUAUUUGUUCGAAUUUCAAAUUUAUACAACUCGAACUUCCACUCAGUACUCAUCAUUUGUAAGUGUGGUUGUAUAUAUCUUUAGUGGCAUUUUCAUAUACAAGAGUAUCAAUCAAAAUAUGGACCAAUCUACUCUAUCUCUCAGCAUUAUCUCUACACGCCAACUUUGUUAACAAGAAAUUCCUUAGGAUAUACUCCCUCUGUUCUUAAAAAAAUACAUAUUCUAGUUUUUUCACACAUUUUAAUAAAACAUAUUAAAUUUACAUAAUUUUUUGUGUUUAUCUUCUUUCCAUAAUUUUAAACCAAUAAAAAAUCAAUUAGUGCAAUUAAGAUUUUUGAAGUUUGCAAUUAGUUAAUAAAACAUGCAUUGAAAAAUGUAAAAAAUAAAUUUUUGAAAAACAAAUUUUUUUUCUAGAAUAUAUAUCUUUAAGGUACAUAGGCAGUAUUUAAAAACCAGUAGAUUUGGAGUCUUUUUGACCCGAUUAUACCGGGUCAUAUGGGGCCUAACGAACAACGUAUUGGUUUUGUAUUGUGUUUUAGAAACACACGUAUUUAAUAAUUCAAAGGUUCGAUAUUUUACAUUAGGUCAUGCGGGUUAUGCCUAACAUACUAGAUAACGUCGUGCUUAUGUUAAAAGAAAAAAGAAAA